rnacentral:rRNA from 1 species
CAGUCGCCGCGGUAAUACGAAGGGUGCAAGCGUUAAUCGGAAUUACUGGGCGUAAAGCGUGCGUAGGCGGUUGGUUAAGUCUGCUGUGAAAUCCCCGGGCUCAACCUGGGAAUGGCAGUGGAUACUGGCCAGCUAGAGUGUGUCAGAGGAUGGUGGAAUUCCCGGUGUAGCGGUGAAAUGCGUAGAGAUCGGGAGGAACAUCAGUGGCGAAGGCGGCCAUCUGGGACAACACUGACGCUGAGGUACGAAAGCAUGGGGAGCAAACAGGAUUAGAUACCCCCGUAGUCCCUGUCUCUUAUAA